rnacentral:rRNA from 1 species
GAUGAACGCUAGCUACAGGCUUAACACAUGCAAGUCGCGGGCCCGGGGCGCGGGUGAGUAACGCGUAUCCACCCUGCCCUUCACCACGGGAUAACCCGGCGAAGGUCGGACUAAUACAGUAUGGUGUAGGCUGGGGAUGCGUCCGCUUGGCUUGACGGCGGGGUAACGGCCAACCGUGGCUACGAUCGGUAGGGGUUCUGAGAGGAAGGUCCCCCACACUGGAACUGAGACACGGUCCAGACUCCUACGGGAGGCAGCAGUGAGGAAUAUUGGUCAAUGGGCGUAAGCCUGAACCAGCCAAGUAGCGUGCAGGACGACGGCCUAUGGGUUGUAAACUGCUUUUAUGCGGGGAUAGGUACCGCAUGAAUAAGGACCGGCUAAUUCCGUGCCAGCAGCCGCGGUAAUAC